UACGUAUGGUGCAAGCGUUAUCCGGAUUUACUGGGUGUAAAGGGAGCGCAGGCGGCACGGCAAGCCUGAUGUGAAAGCCCGCGGCCCAACCGCGGGACUGCAUUGGGAACUACCGGGCUGGAGUGCCGGAGAGGUAGGCGGAAUUCCUAGUGUAGCGGUGAGAUGCGUAGAUAUUAGGAGGAACACCAGUGGCGAAGGCGGCCUACUGGACGGUGACUGACGCUGGGGCUCGAAAGCGUGGGGAGCAAACAGG
rnacentral:rRNA from 1 species